AUUGAACGCUGGCGGCAGGCCUAACACAUGCAAGUCGAACGAGUGGCGGACGGGUGAGUAAUGUCUGGGAAACUGCCUGAUGGAGGGGGAUAACUACUGGAAACGGUAGCUAAUACCGCAUACCAUCAGAUGUGCCCAGAUGGGAUUAGCUUGUUGGUGGGGUAACGGCUCACCAAGGCGACGAUCCCUAGCUGGUCUGAGAGGAUGACCAGCCACACCUGAACUGAGGCACGGGCCAAGACCCUACGGGGGGCAGGCGGGGGGAAUAUUGCACAAUUGGCCCAAGCCUGGUGCAGCCCAGCCCGGUUUAUUGAAGAGGCCUUCGGGUUGUAAAGUUCUUUCAGCCGGGGGGCGUUACCCGCAGAAGAAGCACCGGCUAACUCCGUGCCAGCAGCCGCGGUAAUAC
rnacentral:rRNA from 1 species